rnacentral:rRNA from 1 species
UAAUACCGCAUAAGACCACGUUGGGGCAUCCCAAAGGGGUCAAAGGAGCAAUCCGGUGAAGGGUGGGCUCGCGUCCGAUUAGAUAGUUGGUGAGGUAACGGCCCACCAAGUCGACGAUCGGUAGCCGACCUGAGAGGGUGAUCGGCCACAUUGGGACUGAGACACGGCCCAAACUCCUACGGGAGGCAGCAGUGGGGAAUAUUGGGCAAUGGGGGAAACCCUGACCCAGCAACGCCGCGUGAGGGAAGAAGGUUUUCGGAUCGUAAACCUCUGUCCUUGGUGAAGAGGAAGAGACGGUAGCCAAGGAGGAAGCCCCGGCUAACUACGUGCCAGCAGCCGCGGUAAUACGUAGGGGGCGAGCGUUGUCCGGAAUGAUUGGGCGUAAAGGGCGCGUAGGCGGCCCGGUAAGUCUGGAGUGAAAGUCCUGCUUUUAAGGUGGGAAUUGCUUUGGAUACUGUCGGGCUUGAGUGCAGGAGAGGUAAGUGGAAUUCCCAGUGUAGCGGUGAAAUGCGUAGAGAUUGGGAGGAACACCAGUGGCGAAGGCGACUUACUGGACUGUAACUGACGCUGAGGCGCGAAA